GGCCAGAGCUGAGUGACUAGUCCUGAGCAUGGCAGAUUCACAUACCCGCUGCAAACUCACUCAAAAAUGAUAACAGAACUCCCUCUACCUCAGACAAGAGCAGAGACAGGCAAACAUGUUGGAGGGGGAAGAUGAGGCGGAGGGAUAGCCCCUCCUUAUUGCUGUAAAAGCAGGAGGAAAAAAAAAAGAAAGAGAAAAAAAAAAGUAAGGAAGAAAGGAAAUCGCAGCCAUACGGGCUAUGCUCCCCCAGCUGAACUGUAACUGCAUUUUAACGGUGGGAUAAAAGACGCUAUAUGGCGAUGUGCUCCUCCUUCUACCCUGCCAACCUCAUCUGUCAGCCAUUAGUUAAUCAGGGCUGGUAACGCAGAGCAAAGAGAGCUGGCACGGCUCGUGGGACCAGAGGACAGCUUCACCUCUGAGAGCAAGAAGAGGGCAAGGACUCAGGGACCUCUGCUUCACCGAUCUACAGCUGGGCUGCUUCACUCACCACCACCCACUCAGGAUUGGCAGGCAGCAACUUCAAGAUGAUCCCACCCACUGCUUUACUGUGAACAGCAUCUGCUCCCAACUUGGAUCACCCACAAAAUAACAUCUACCCUUACUGGAUGGGCUCCUCUCUUAAUUUCUUCCAUUGCCCUGCACAAACUCAUUGUGGUGGUUCGGACUCAACUCUUAUUCCUUCAGAUGGGGCUUUUGCUCCUACAGGGACAGCGUUAAUAUCAUCUUUUAACUGCUCUCUAAGCUGCAAUAAAUUGUGAGGAUGUUUAUGCAAUUGCUGGCAAAGAAAAUCUGUUUUACAGUGUGCAAUAUGUUAAACUUAUCAUCAUGUUAUCCAACUGCUUGACCUAAAAGAGACUUCCAUUCCUAAUGUGAAGGCCAUGCUGUGAGCCAAAUAUUUUGAAUCUUUAGAUAACAUCUCACAGCAUCUGGCUUCUUAAUGGUUUGCCAAAAUCUGCAGGCCACAAUGCUUGACUUUUAACCAGCAAAUCAUCAACUGAACUAUUUUGCUUUCUCUCAAAGGCCGAAAUGAAACAUUAUCUCCCAACUCAGAUUUUAAUUAAAGCCAUGACAAGAACCAUGCUUGUAAAGGACCAGGGGGGACCUUCCAGCCACCGCUUCAAUUGCUCACACUUGACUGGCAUAUGGGCAGGAUCAGGAAACACAAGCCCAAUGAUGUCACGACCAACUGACCCCAGGGUGACAGGUUUGGGGAAUGUUCUUGCCCAUUGCCCUCAGGCCAAAGUCAAGUAUGUUAAUGUUGUGCAUGUGGAUUUCAUUUGAAGCAGCAUGAUUAGUUUACAGACGCACAACUGCGAUCCCCCUCCAUGGGAAACCCACUCUUGACAGGAAACGGUAUGUUUUUGUUAGCAACAAACAGGCAUAAAUUACUAAAAUGGUGCCUUGGUUGCCAAUUUAUCACACACAGUCUUAUUGUUGCUGCUUGCACACAUUUGACAUCGACAUUGCUUUUAAGGUAAUUACCAUUAGUUAAUGAUAUUUACAUUCCUGAUAGUUGAUGUUGAACUAUGUGUAUGCAAUAACUAAAUUUGUGCAAUAAAUGUGAUAAUUGUU